rnacentral:lncRNA from 1 species
UUCCGCCUUCCGGAUGGAUGAAAGCAGAAGCAGUGGCUGGAGCUAGAGCAGCUAUUUAGGACUAUGAGAUGGAAGAAAUGUGGUGACAAUAGCAGAACAAAAAUAUAGAAAUCUUGGGUACUUGAUGACCACGGAGCCGCCAUACAAACUCUGGACUAUAAUUUCCAGAGACUGUUUAUCUACAGUUAUCUAACUGCAAGCAACAGAAAUCCACUCUGGGCAACCUAAGCCAGAAAGGAAGAUAAAUUGAAGAACCAG